rnacentral:rRNA from 1 species
UCUAAGUAUAAGCAAUUAUACAGCGAAACUGCGAAUGGCUCAUUAUAUAAGUUAUCGUUUAUUUGAUAAUACCUUACUACUUGGAUAACCGUGGUAAUUCUAGAGCUAAUACAUGCUAAAAAUCCCGACUUCGGAAGGGUUGUAUUUAUUAGAUUAAAAACCAAUGCCCCUCGGGGCUCUCUGGUGAAUCAUGAUAACUAGUCGAAUCGACAGGCCUUGUGCCGGCGAUGGCUCAUUCAAAUUUCUUCCCUAUCAACUUUCGAUGUUUGGGUAUUGGCCAAACAUGGUGGCAACGGGUAACGGAGGGUUAGGGCUCGACCCCGGAGAAGGAGCCUGAGAAACGGCUACUACAUCCAAGGAAGGCAGCAGGCGCGCAAAUUACCCAAUCCCGACACGGGGAGGUAGUGACAAUAAAUACUGAUACAGGGCUCUUUUGGGUCUUGUAAUCGGAAUGAGUACAAUUUAAAUCCCUUAACGAGGAACAAUUGGAGGGCAAGUCUGGUGCCAGCAGCCGCGGUAAUUCCAGCUCCAAUAGCGUAUAUUAAAGUUGUUGUGGUUAAAAAGCUCGUAGUUGAACCUUGGGCCUGGCUGGCCGGUCCGCCUCACCGCGUGCACUGGUCCGGCCGGGCCUUUCCCUCUGCGGAACCCCAUGCCCUUCACUGGGCGUGGCGGGGAAACAGGACUUUUACUUUGAAAAAAUUAGAGUGCUCAAGGCAGGCCUAUGCUCGAAUACAUUAGCAUGGAAUAAUGAAAUAGGACGUUGCGGUUCUAUUUUGUUGGUUUCUAGGACCGCCGUAAUGAUUAAUAGGGACAGUCGGGGGCAUCAGUAUUCAAUUGUCAGAGGUGAAAUUCUUGGAUUUAUUGAAGACUAACUACUGCGAAAGCAUUUGCCAAGGAUGUUUUCAUUAAUCAGGAACGAAAGUUAGGGGAUCGAAGACGAUCAGAUACCGUCGUAGUCUUAACCAUAAACUAUGCCGACUAGGGAUCGGACGAUGUUAUAUUUUUUGACGCGUUCGGCACCUUACGAGAAAUCAAAGUGCUUGGGCUCCAGGGGGAGUAUGGUCGCAAGGCUGAAACUUAAAGGAAUUGG